rnacentral:rRNA from 1 species
AGAGUUUGAUCAUGGCUCAGAUUGAACGCUGGCGGCAUGCCUUACACAUGCAAGUCGAACGGCAGCGCGGGGGGUAACUCCUGGCGGCGAGUGGCGAACGGGUGAGUAAUAUAUCGGAACGUGCCCAAGAGUGGGGGAUAACCAGUCGAAAGAUUGGCUAAUACCGCAUACGAUCUACGGAUGAAAGUGGGGGAUUCGCAAGAACCUCAUGCUCCUGGAGCGGCCGAUAUCUGAUUAGCUAGUUGGUGGGGUAAAAGCCUACCAAGGCGACGAUCAGUAGCUGGUCUGAGAGGACGACCAGCCACACUGGGACUGAGACACGGCCCAGACUCCUACGGGAGGCAGCAGUGGGGAAUUUUGGACAAUGGGCGCAAGCCUGAUCCAGCAAUGCCGCGUGUGUGAAGAAGGCCUUCGGGUUGUAAAGCACUUUUGUCAGGGAAGAAACGGUGAGGGCUAAUAUCCCUUGCUAAUGACGGUACCUGAAGAAUAAGCACCGGCUAACUACGUGCCAUCAGCCGCGGUAAUACGUAGGGUGCAAGCGUUAAUCGGAAUUACUGGGCGUAAAGCGUGCGCAGGCGGUUGUGUAAGUCAGAUG